CACGUGUUUUCUUAAUUUUCGUUGCUAAAAUUAUGUUCUCUAAUUGGGCUGUAACUUUAAUUCUCGAGCAUUAUGUUUAGAACUAACCCUUUCGACCUUCUCUUCUCUUACGCAGCUGUUUCUGUCGCCGGAGUUGGGUAAACGGCAACAAUUAUGCUUCCUUCUCGCAGCCACCGUUACGCUAAGCAUUAACGUCAUUGAAUCAAAGCUGAAGGCUGGCCGAUACAAACAAAUGAUGAAGGGAUGAUGCAUGGUGAAUUGAUGCGAAGGCUACGCUUAUACAAGGGUCGAUCAACGUUCACCGGCUAAACACCUUCAGACAUGUCUUGCAAGAAGGCUUGGUUUAUGAGCUAAGUGUUUUCGAUGUGGCAUGAAGCAACCCGAGCUUCAGGUUUGGGGAUGCUCCUGUGUCUAUUAGGUUCACCGAGCAUACCAUCUUUGUUGAGCUCACUUAAACCAAUGAGCUGAUCCAGAGGAAGAGUUUUCGGUUCUGCAAUCAUGACUGGCUUUUCGCACUUGCCAACACGAAUACUGAGUUACAAGAUAUCGUUGGCGAAGUUAGUUGUAUCAGAACAGCUUACAACAACAAAGAGACCCAUAGUACUCAAUGCCUUAUGGCAACUAUAAGGCUUGAUAGGGACAUUCCUCUCUGUCUGAGUGUAUUGACGGGCUUGCAGCGCUCCUGGCUAAAAAAUUGCUUGGCUCUGAUGUUGAACCAAAGGACGCCGGCCCAUUUUUAUUUGAUCAUGACUUUGGAGCCCCUACCUUAAAAAGGUUUGUGACAACGACGAAGGCUCCUUCUCCGGUCCUACCAAGUAUGGUGGGGUAAAAAGUUGGAUACAUUAUGAACCAUAUUGGUGGCUUCUUUUGUUUUUUUCCUUCUUUUUUCUGUUUUUGAGAUUUGUGGAAACAACCCAGAAUUAUAAACUGGAUUAAUAUGAAAUACAUUUGUAAAACUCUAUAAGCAUUAAACGCUGUUAAUUCCAUCCUGAAGUUCAGUGUUCCAAAUAUUUGUUGGACAAAGACCGAGGAAAAAAAGAAACAGUGCAAGAAAUCACAAGAUUCAUGUCGGCGUCUAAAUAUGGGAAAAUAUUUUUAAUUAAGUGGAAUCGUAGGGUGUACAUUAGAAAAAGGUGCAGAGUUGUUAGUGUUUUAUAUAUUCAAAUUAGAAUAGCUAAUACGCAAACUUUUAUUCAUCCACUAAUUACUCUCCAGUGAUAAGAAAAACCGUUACAAAAGCGAUACCAAGACAAGCAGAUAGGUUGUUAUUCUCAAAAACUCAUCUCACCAUUUUAUCGUCUUUUUCCUCGAGAAAGGCUACCUAUUUUCCUUAGAACAUGUAUCGAAUUAAUCCUCCCCAAGAGCUCUGCCUUUUUAAUAUGGUGAAGAGAGCUGAGAUCAAAUCAACUUUCCGGGUAAUGAACUCAAAAUCAAACUACGAGGUAACUAACCACUGCCUCCUACUUUCUUCCAAAUACCCUUAAACAACUUCAUUAUUUGUUGUUUACACAGAUUGUGAUGUUGGACGCCCAUGGUUGAACGAGAGAGCUAUCAGCCGGACCAACUCGACUAGGGGAAGAGUACGUUUAGGUAAAAUGUUCUACACUUUAUAAAUCCACAGCCAGGCAGUGUAGGGUAGACCGUAAACAUUGUAGCUAUGGUUGCCAUUAAUUCAGCGUUUUGCCAAUGUAGAUGAUUUGGGAAGGUAAGCACGCCGCAACAGCGCGAACCAAACAAUUUACACGCAUCAUGAAAGGUUUGUCGUGCUUCCAUAACUCUGUCCUUUCCGGCAUCCGAAAAUCCACAACUAUACUCACACACUCAACAAUUGCCAUGUUUUUUGCUGAUACGUAUACAUGACAAAACUAUCUAUAGAUACUGUGAGUAACCACGAUACAAUAUAUAUUGUUUCAUCGCAGGUGUAAGACCUACCAGUAUCCCUCCAGUACUAGCUUAUAGCUCUCCUCAAACCACAUCCAACGUCACACAGACACGAAUUUAUAAACCAAGCUUAGAUUAUGUAUAAUUUAAUUUGAUAAAAGAAAACUACGCGCCGGGUUCAGCAAAUUUGUAUUUAUUAGUCAAAAAUCAGCCUUCACUUUUAAAUCUAAUAGAUGUUAAAACUUAAAACACUUGGAACAUCUGCACCGAUAUAUUAUUUUAAACAAGUUUGUAAAUAUAAUAUAUUAUUUAUUAAAUCAAACAUGAACACGAAAUCAGGAAUCCAGUGACGAUACAAUA